rnacentral:rRNA from 1 species
GUAGGUGGCAAGCGUUGUCCGGGAAUUAUUGGGGCGUAAAGCGCGCGCAGGCGGUUCUUUAAGUCUGAUGUGAAAGCCCACGGGCUCAACCGUGGAGGGUCAUUGGAAACUGGAGAACUUGAGUACAGAAGAGGAAAGCGGGAUUCCACGUGUAGCGGUGAAAUGCGUAGAGAUGUGGAGGAACACCAGUGGCGAAGGCGGCUUUCUGGUCUGUAACUGACGCUGAGGCGCGAAAGCGUGGGGAGCAAACAGGAUUAGAUACCCUGGUAGUCCACGCCGUAAACGAUGAGUGCUAAGUGUUAGGGGGUUUCCGCCCCUUAGUGCUGCAGCUAACGCAUUAAGCACUCCGCCUGGGGAGUACGGCCGCAAAGGCUG